CAUCGAUGGUCAGUCAGGGC
rnacentral:piRNA from 1 species